rnacentral:rRNA from 1 species
GACGAACGCUGGCGGCGCGCUUAACACAUGCAAGUCGAGCGAAGCGGCGGACGGGGGAGUAACACGUGAGGAACCUGCCUUAGACAUUGGGAUAGCCUCGGGAAACCGGGACUAAUACCACAUGGUAUAAGAUGGACUCGCGUCCCAUUAGCUAGUUGGGAGGUAAAGGCCCACCAAGGCGACGAUGGGUGGCCGGGCUGAGAGGGUGAAUGGCCACAUUGGAACGGAGAAACAGUGCAAACUCUAAGGGAGGCAGCAGUGGGGAAUAUUGCACAAUGGAGGGAACGCUGAUGCAGCGACGCCGCGUGAACGAAGAAGGCUUUCGAGUCGUAAAGUUCUUUUAUAUGGGAAGCGGUACCAUAAGAAAAAGCCCCGGCUAACUACGUGCCAGCAGCCGCGGUAAUUC